CAGAGCCUCAAUGAUUACUUGGAGGACAAUAGAUAUAUUGAGAACAAUAUCACAAAAGAAGAUCAAUAGCUACUGAGAACAAUAUCGCAAGCUCAUAUUGUGUACUUGAAGCAAUCCUCAGCUCACCACCUGCUAAUCAUGCUCUGUGUUGAUAUAAUCACAGCGUUAAGAAAGGAAAAGAGCCAGCUUGCCUGGAAUGAAGAAGGCUUUAAGAGAGCAUGGCCUGGUUAAUGUGGAAGACACCAAAGGAAAAGGAGCCACAUAUAGUAAAGAGGACAGUGACAUUGCUCUCUGGAUCAGACGACAAGGAGAAAUGUGAUGAAGGAAGAGGCUGAUAAAAUAAUGCUUUAGGCAAGAUAGGUCAAGGAAGGCCAAAAAUCCUGGACUUGUUGCCAAGUCUUCUAGAUGUGAAACCUUGGGAUGACAGAGUUAAGGGAACAAGAUUACAGGAAUAUGUCAGGGGACUCAGGCAGACGGCUUGGUCUGAAGCACUUCCAAACUAGUUUUGAUAGGAUAUGCUAUCAAGAGGCUCCAGAAACAGGGUGGAGUUGGAGAUGAUAAAUUUGGUACAAUGUGCUAGAGGAACAGAUAACUUCUUUUGAGGACUGUGUUUAGUCAACAGACAAGACCUCUUUCAAUGGGGUC
rnacentral:lncRNA from 1 species